UACGGAGGGUGCAAACGUUGCUCGGAAUCAUUGGGCGUAAAGCGCACGUAGGCGGUCCGUUAAGUCGGGUGUGAAAUCCCUCGGCUCAACCGAGGAAGUGCAUUCGAAACUAGCGGACUUGAGUAUGGAAGAGGGUCGUGGAAUUCCCGGUGUAGAGGUGAAAUUCGUAGAUAUCGGGAGGAGCACCAGUGGCGAAGGCGGCGACCUGGGCCAAUACUGACGCUGAGGUGCGAAAGCGUGGGGAGCAAACAGG
rnacentral:rRNA from 1 species